rnacentral:rRNA from 1 species
GAUGAACGCUGGCGGCGUGCCUAAUACAUGCAAGUCGAGCGAACGGACGAGAAGCUUGCUUCUCUGAUGUUAGCGGCGGACGGGUGAGUAACACGUGGAUAACCUACCUAUAAGACUGGGAUAACUUCGGGAAACCGGAGCUAAUACCGGAUAAUAUUUUGAACCGCAUGGUUCAAAAGUGAAAGACGGUCUUGCUGUCACUUAUAGAUGGAUCCGCGCUGCAUUAGCUAGUUGGUAAGGUAACGGCUUACCAAGGCAACGAUGCAUAGCCGACCUGAGAGGGUGAUCGGCCACACUGGAACUGAGACACGGUCCAGACUCCUACGGGAGGCAGCAGUAGGGAAUCUUCCGCAAUGGGCGAAAGCCUGACGGAGCAACGCCGCGUGAGUGAUGAAGGUCUUCGGAUCGUAAAACUCUGUUAUUAGGGAAGAACAUAUGUGUAAGUAACUGUGCACAUCUUGACGGUGCCUAAUCAGAAAGCCACGGCUAACUACGUGCCAGCAGCCGCGGUAAUACGUAGGUGGCAAGCGUUAUCCGGAAUUAUUGGGCGUAAAGCGCGCGUAGGCGGUUUUUUAGUCUGAUGUGAAAGCCCACGGCUCAACCGUGGAGGGUCAUUGGAAACUGGAAAACUUGAGUGCAGAAGAGGAAAGUGGAAUUCCAUGUGUAGCGGUGAAAUGCGCAUAGAUAUGGAGGAACACCAGUGGCGAAGGCGACUUUCUGGUCUGUAACUGACGCUGAUGUGCGAAAGCGUGGGGAUCAAACAGGACUAGAUACCCUGGUAGUCCACGCCGUAAACGAUGAGUGCUAAGUGUUAGGGGGUUUCCGCCCCUUAGUGCUGCAGCUAACGCAUUAAGCACUCCGCCUGGGGAGUACGACCGCAAGGUUGAAACUCAAAGGAAUUGACGGGGACCCGCACAAGCGGUGGAGCAUGUGGUUUAAUUCGAAGCAACGCGAAGAACCUUACCAAAUCUUGACAUCCUUUGACAACUCUAGAGAUAGAGCCUUCCCCUUCGGGGGACAAAGUGACAGGUGGUGCAUGGUUGUCGUCAGCUCGUGUCGUGAGAUGUUGGGUUAAGUCCCGCAACGAGCGCAACCCUUAAGCUUAGUUGCCAUCAUUAAGUUGGGCACUCUAAGUUGACUGCCGGUGACAAACCGGAGGAAGGUGGGGAUGACGUCAAAUCAUCAUGCCCCUUAUGAUUUGGGCUACACACGUGCUACAAUGGACAAUACAAAGGGCAGCGAAACCGCGAGGUCAAGCAAAUCCCAUAAAGUUGUUCUCAGUUCGGAUUGUAGUCUGCAACUCGACUACAUGAAGCUGGAAUCGCUAGUAAUCGUAGAUCAGCAUGCUACGGUGAAUACGUUCCCGGGUCU